AUAAGUUAAAUACCGUUCUGCAAGUCAACAUACAACCCUAGGUCAAAGUUACAAGAAAGUGGACUUGUACAAAUUGAUGUGGUUUUUGUUUUUUUUUUUACAUGCUUUCGAUCAAUUCAAUCGAAAUAAGAGUCUAUCUCAACUUCAAUGGAUUCGCCGUCGGAAGUUCUGUUUGAGCGACAUAGUUGCAAACUUUUUGUAGGCUCCAGGAUUUUUAUGACUAUUUUUGAAUUAUAGAUCAAUACAACAAGAAAUUUUUCUGGGUAUCUUUUGAUGUGCUUUUCUUUGAACUUUUUUACCAUAAAAGCCGCAGUUCUCCCCCGUCAAUAGUAUAUUUGAGUCUCACCAUUUCACUCCUAUGGUAGGAUUUUUUUCGGCUUUGUAUUUUCCAAUCAAACUUGCUCAGCUGACAAAUAUGGUUUGAAACAUAGAGAGGCAGUUUGGGAUUUUUCCAAGCUACCAGAGUCUCCCUUCACUUUGUGCAGGUACCUACUAUCAGAAAGCGAUUUUCUAUGAUUUUCUGUGUAAGCAUUUUUCUCUGCUUUUCCUGACAGUUUGUGCUGUAAUAUGGAAUUAAAUUGUAUUUUAUUUAUUGAUUGAAAAUGUCAUUAAAUUAAGGUUUGCUUCGGCGUGGCUCUCAUAAAUGUCUCUUGUAGCUUCCCCUAGGAUAGAUAACACGAUCGCAUAUGAUCUUUCGUCAGCAUCCAUUAGUUGGGCUAGCAGUUAUCCCAUCUUUGUAUGCACGCUGAUGCCUUCAGAACUUUGCCUUUGGUGUGGUGGUGGCCACGGUCAGUCUGUUCGGUUUUCUCCGCUGGAAUCUCUCUCCUCGGCACUAUAUUAACGUUCUUAGGUUGCCAGAAAAUAAUAUCGAGGAGCUUGGCCGGAAUGAUUUCUACAAAACUGGAAGUUUUGAAUGCUCAGACAAUAUUGAAGUCAGGUAUUUUCAGCUUAUUUCUACUUUGUACACUUUUGGGGUUUAUGUUCAUCGGAAAGAUAGCAUCAAAAAAUUUCAUGGAAGAGAUUGAGAGUGAAAAUAGCCAAUUUUUCCAUACAUACAAAAUGGAUGUCACCUCACUAUUCAUCCUCGGCCUCCUGGCAGUGUCAAGCAGAGUCCCUGGUUCAUAAACUUAUCUUUAUUUUAGAGCCAUCAUUCUUUUUCCUUGGUUGAUCGAAAUUAUUGCUUCGGCUGGGUGGGUUUACCAUGAAGAGACUGAUGGGAGUACAUUUCUAGGCCUGGAAAAGGCAGGCGUGAGGCACGGUGGAUGAAGUUAAGAACAGAUUCGAGAUCCAACCAAGAAUGGCUCCAUGAAAAAGAGAAAAAAGUCACUGUUCGCAGAGGACUUCUUGUUGGUUUUGGAUGCCAAAAACCUGACACUGGUGUUUCCCCUUCACUGUGUUGGGUUUCUAUCCAAGGUUUCAUCAUUCGAGCAGAUGAAAACAUUGUUUGCGUGAGCUGUACAAAUCUACACACAACAGGAAACUACAGCUGUCAUAUUCUAGUAUAUCUCCUAUUUAUGUAAAUCCCGAUUGUUAUGGAAUGGUAGUUGAUUUCUUUCCAAAGACAGCUAAUAAGGCUAUAAACUGCUAUGUAUAUAUAUAUUCAGUCUCAGAAAUAAAGAGUGAGAAAGAAUUCUUGCAGGAAA